AGACCCGAAACCCGGUGAUCUAGCCAUGGGCAGGUUGAAGGUUGGGUAACACUAACUGGAGGACCGAACCGACUAAUGUUGAAAAAUUAGCGGAUGACCUGUGGCUGGGGGUGAAAGGCCAAUCAAACCGGGAGAUAGCUGGUUCUCCCCGAAAGCUAUUUAGGUAGCGCCUCGUGAAUUCAUCUCCGGGGGUAGAGCACUGUUUCGGCUAGGGGGCCAUCCCGGCUUACCAACCCGAUGCAAACUGCGAAUACCGGAGAAUGUUAUCACGGGAGACACACGGCGGGUGCUAACGUCCGUCGUGAAGAGGGAAACAACCCAGACCGCCAGCUAAGGUCCCAAAGUCAUGGUUAAGUGGGAAACGAUGUGGGAAGGCCCAGACAGCCAGGAUGUUGGCUUAGAAGCAGCCAUCAUUUAAAGAAAGCGUAAUAGCUCACUGGUCGAGUCGGCCUGCGCGGAAGAUGUAACGGGGCUAAACCAUGCACCGAAGCUGCGGCAGCGACACUCAGGUGUUGUUGGGUAGGGGAGCGUUCUGUAAGCCUGCGAAGGUGGCCUGUGAGGGUUGCUGGAGGUAUCAGAAGUGCGAAUGCUGACAUAAGUAACGAUAAAGCGGGUGAAAAGCCCGCUCGCCGGAAGACCAAGGGUUCCUGUCCAACGUUAAUCGGGGCAGGGUGAGUCGACCCCUAAGGCGAGGCCGAAAGGCGUAGUCGAUGGGAAACGGGUUAAUAUUCCCGUACUUGGUGUUACUGCGAAGGGGGGACGGAGAAGGCUAUGUUGGCCGGGCGACGGUUGUCCCGGUUUAAGCGUGUAGGUGUGUGUUCCAGGUAAAUCCGGUUCACUUUAACACUGAGGCGUGACGACGAGGCACUACGGUGCUGAAGCAACAAAUGCCCUGCUUCCAGGAAAAGCCUCUAAGCAUCAGGUAACAUCAAAUCGUACCCCAAACCGACACAGGUGGUCAGGUAGAGAAUACCAAGGCGCUUGAGAGAACUCGGGUGAAGGAACUAGGCAAAAUGGUGCCGUAACUUCGGGAGAAGGCACGCUGACACGUAGGUGAAGUGAUUUACUCACGGAGCUGAAGUCAGUCGAAGAUACCAGCUGGCUGCAACUGUUUAUUAAAAACACAGCACUGUGCAAACACGAAAGUGGACGUAUACGGUGUGACGCCUGCCCGGUGCCGGAAGGUUAAUUGAUGGGGUCAGCGCAAGCGAAGCUCCUGAUCGAAGCCCCGGUAAACGGCGGCCGUAACUAUAACGGUCCUAAGGUAGCGAAAUUCCUUGUCGGGUAAGUUCCGACCUGCACGAAUGGCGUAAUGAUGGCCAGGCUGUCUCCACCCGAGACUCAGUGAAAUUGAACUCGCUGUGAAGAUGCAGUGUACCCGCGGCAAGACGGAAAGACCCCGUGAACCUUUACUAUAGCUUGACACUGAACAUUGAGCCUUGAUGUGUAGGAUAGGUGGGAGGCUUUGAAGUGUGGACGCCAGUCUGCAUGGAGCCGACCUUGAAAUACCACCCUUUAAUGUUUGAUGUUCUAACGUGGACCCGUGAUCCGGGUUGCGGACAGUGUCUGGUGGGUAGUUUGACUGGGGCGGUCUCCUCCUAAAGAGUAACGGAGGAGCACGAAGGUUGGCUAAUCCUGGUCGGACAUCAGGAGGUUAGUGCAAUGGCAUAAGCCAGCUUGACUGCGAGCGUGACGGCGCGAGCAGGUGCGAAAGCAGGUCAUAGUGAUCCGGUGGUUCUGAAUGGAAGGGCCAUCGCUCAACGGAUAAAAGGUACUCCGGGGAUAACAGGCUGAUACCGCCCAAGAGUUCAUAUCGACGGCGGUGUUUGGCACCUCGAUGUCGGCUCAUCACAUCCUGGGGCUGAAGUAGGUCCCAAGGGUAUGGCUGUUCGCCAUUUAAAGUGGUACGCGAGCUGGGUUUAGAACGUCGUGAGACAGUUCGGUCCCUAUCUGCCGUGGGCGCUGGAGAACUGAGGGGGGCUGCUCCUAGUACGAGAGGACCGGAGUGGACGCAUCACUGGUGUUCGGGUUGUCAUGCCAAUGGCACUGCCCGGUAGCUAAAUGCGGAAGAGAUAAGUGCUGAAAGCAUCUAAGCACGAAACUUGCCCCGA
rnacentral:rRNA from 3 species